CCUACGGGUGGCAGCAGUGGGGAAUAUUGGACAAUGGUGGGGACCCUGAUCCCGCGACGCCGCGUGAGUGACGAAGUUUGUGGGUAUGUAAAGCUCUAUCAGCAGGGAAGAACGAAAUGUCGGUACUUGACUAAGCAGCCCAGGCUAACUACGUGCAAGCAGCCGCGGUAAAUCGUCGGGGGCAAGCGUUAUCCGGAUUUACUGGGUGUAAAGGGUGCGUAGAUGGCCAGACAAGUCAGACGGGAAAGCCCAGGGCUCAACCCUGGGCCAGCUGUUGAAACUGCCGGGCUGGAGUGCAGGAGAGGUAAGCGGAAUUCGUAGUGUAGCGGUGAAAUGCGUAGAUAUUAGGAGGAACACCAGUGGCGAAGGCGGCUUACUGGACUGUAACUGACGUUGAGGCUCGAAAGCGUGGGGAGCAAACAGGAUUAGAUACCCGGGUAGUC
rnacentral:rRNA from 1 species